UCUCUGGUGGCUCAGUGGUAAAGAAUCUGCCUGCAAUGCAGGAGACGCAGGAGAAUUGGGUUCGAUCCCUGGCUGGGGAA
rnacentral:tRNA from 1 species